rnacentral:rRNA from 1 species
ACGGAAGGCAGCAGUGGGGAAUAUUGCACAAUGGGGGAAACCCUGAUGCAGCGACGCCGCGUGAGUGAAGAAGUAUUUCGGUAUGUAAAGCUCUAUCAGCAGGGAAGAUAAUGACGGUACCUGACUAAGAAGCCCCGGCUAACUACGUGCCAGCAGCCGCGGUAAUACGUAGGGGGCAAGCGUUAUCCGGAUUUACUGGGUGUAAAGGGAGCGCAGACGGCUUUGCAAGUCUGAAGUGAAAUCCACGGGCUCAACCCGUGAACUGCUUUGGAAACUGUAGAGCUAGAGUGCAGGAGAGGUAAGUGGAAUUCCUAGUGUAGCGGUGAAAUGCGUAGAUAUUAGGAGGAACACCAGUGGCGAAGGCGGCUUACUGGACUGUAACUGACGUUGAGGCUCGAAAGCGUGGGGAGCAAACAGGAUUAGAUACCCUGGUA